GACGAACGCUGGCGGCGUGCUUAACACAUGCAAGUCGUACGGUAAGGCCCUUUCGGGGGUACACGAGUGGCGAACGGGUGAGUAACACGUGAGUAACCUGCCCACAACUUUGGGAUAACGCUAGGAAACUGGUGCUAAUACUGGAUAUGUGCUCCUGCUGCAUGGUGGGGGUUGGAAAGCUCCGGCGGUUGUGGAUGGACUCGCGGCCUAUCAGCUUGUUGGUGGGGUAGUGGCCUACCAAGGCGGCGACGGGUAGCCGGCCUGAGAGGGUGACCGGCCACAUUGGGACUGAGAUACGGCCCAGACUCCUACGGGAGGCAGCAGUGGGGAAUAUUGCACAAUGGGCGCAAGCCUGAUGCAGCAACGCCGCGGGCGGGAAGACGGCCUUCGGGUUGUAAACCGCUUUCAGCAGGGACGAAGCUUUUUGUGACGGUACCUGCAGAAGAAGCACCGGCUAACUACGUG
rnacentral:rRNA from 1 species